GAGCUUAUAAGUGUAGCCAGGUGGCACCAUUGGCUAUUUUUGCAGUUCACAAUAUCGGCUGUGAGGAUGUGGAAUGCAAGUGGAGGGAGCCAGCCGUGCCCAACCAGCUGGAGUCAGUGGAUGAUCUGUACCUGGCUUAAGACAACAACCCUCUGUCCCGAGAGCCCACAGAGAAGGAUCUUCAGAGUCUAAGGAACCCUCUCCGGGGCAGGUUCAGUGGAGUGCAUAGAUAAUAAACAGAGAAUAGCAGAGGCGUAAAGGGGGGGUGCAUAUAGUCUGGGUAGCCAUUUGAUUAGCUGUUCAGGAGUCGUAUGGCUUGCUGGUAGAAGCUGUUGAGAAGCAUUUUGUAUCUAGACUUGGCAUUCCGGUACCGCUUGCCAUGAGGUAGCAGAGAGAUCAGUCAAUGACUAUAAAUAUAGACUGUGGCUGGAGUCUUUAGGGCUUUCCUCUGACACCGCCUGGUAUAGAGGUCCUGGAUGGCAGGAAACUUGGCCCCAGUGAUGUACUGGGCCGUGCGUAUGUAGUGCCUUGCGGUCAGAGGCCGAGCAGUUGCCAUACCAGGCAGUGAUGCAACCAGUCAUUGCGCACUAGCGACUCCUGUGGCGGGCAGGGCUCAGUGCACGCUGACCAGGUCGCCAGGUGUACGGUGUUUCCUCCGACACAUUGGUGCGGCUGGCUUCCGGGUUGGAUGUGCGUUGUGUCAAGAAGCAGUGCGGUUGGAUUGGGUUUCGGAGGACAUAUGGCUCUCGAACUGUAACUACUAUCAGUUGGAUACCAUGAAAUUGGGGAGAAAAAAGGGUUUUAAAAAAAGAAGCCUUUGUCUGACAAAAAUCAUGUCUCCAGACAUGAAGACAUGAAAAUCUUCUCAAUUGUGCGUCGCCCCAUGGACCUCCCAGUCAUUGAAAGCACCAUGGCAGUACAGUCAAUGACCAUCCUGCAGUUUCCCCUGGACCCAUGAAAAGACACAAGCACCUCAUCACCAAAUUUGGUGGCGAGUGAAAAUGCCGUCUUCUUCUUCAAUGAAGUUUAAUGGUGGUUUGCAUCCAAUAAAUGUUACAUUAUCGCAUCCAACUAGGCUGUAGAAUAAUUCCCUUAUACUUUGCUGACAAUAAAUAAAUACAGUUGAAGCCAGAAGAUUACAUACACCUUAGCCAAAUAAACUUACUCAGUCUUUCACAAUUCUUGACAUUUAAACAUCCGAAUCGUCUGAAUGUGUAACUAUAAAACCAACUUUACCUUGGUAAUUCGUCACUCGUUCAUCCCGCAAUGAUUGUGUUUUCAGGCACCGGUAGCUUGUGGGUGCUUUUAUGCCCUGCAGUCAAUUAUGAGUGCAUGUUUACUGACUAAAUAUAUCAUUAUUAAUAUUCACCUACUGCACUGUAUGAUAGCUAGCAAAUUAAUUAGCUAAUGCCUAGCUGGAACUUCUGAAGGAAAAU
ensembl:lncRNA